UGGUAGUNCACGCCGUAAACGAUGAGUGCUAGGUGUUAGGCCCUUUCCGGGGCUUAGUGCCGGAGCUAACGCAAUAAGCACUCCGCCUGGGGAGUACGACCGCAAGGUUGAAACUCAAAGGAAUUGACGGGGGCCCGCACAAGCGGUGGAGCAUGUGGUUUAAUUCGAAGCAACGCGAAGAACCUUACCAGGUCUUGACAUCCCGAUGCUAUUCUUAGAGAUAGGAAGUUACUUCGGUACAUCGGAGACAGGUGGUGCAUGGUUGUCGUCAGCUCGUGUCGUGAGAUGUUGGGUUAAGUCCCGCAACGAGCGCAACCCUUAUUGUUAGUUGCCAUCAUUAAGUUGGGCACUCUAGCGAGACUGCCGGUAAUAAACCGGAGGAAGGUGGGGAUGACGUCAAAUCAUCAUGCCCCUUAAGACCUGGGCUACACACGUGCUACAAUGGUCGGUACAACGAGUUGCGAGCCGGUGACGGCAAGCUAAUCUCUGAAAGCCGAUCUCAGUUCGGAUUGGAGGCUGCAACUCGCCUCCAUGAAGUCGGAAUCGCUAGUAAUCGCGGAUCAGCACGCCGCGGUGAAUACGUUCCCGGGCCUUGUACACACCGCCCGUCACACCACGAGAGUUUGUAACACCCGAA
rnacentral:rRNA from 1 species